rnacentral:rRNA from 1 species
UACGAAGGGGGCUAGCGUUGUUCGGAAUUACUGGGCGUAAAGCGCGCGCAGGCGGUCCUUCAAGUCAGAGGUGAAAGCCCAGAGCUCAACUCUGGAACGGCCUUUGAGACUAGAGGACUUGGGUACGGGAGAGGUGAGUGGAAUUCCGAGUGUAGAGGUGAAAUUCGUAGAUAUUCGGAAGAACACCAGUGGCGAAGGCGGCUCUCUAGUACGGUACUGACGCUGAGACGCGAAAGCGUGGGGAAGCGAACGAGG